ACUGCCGAAGGAUCGGCCCGCGUCUGAUUAGCUAGUUGGUGGGGUAACGGCCUACCAAGGCGACGAUCAGUAGCUGGUCUGAGAGGAUGAUCAGCCACACUGGGACUGAGACACGGCCCAGACUCCUACGGGAGGCAGCAGUGGGGAAUAUUGGACAAUGGGCGCAAGCCUGAUCCAGCCAUGCCGCGUGAGUGAUGAAGGCCUUAGGGUUGUAAAGCUCUUUUGUCCGGGACGAUAAUGACGGUCCGGAAGAAUAAGCCCCGGCUAACUUCGUGCCAGCAGCCGCGGUAAUACGAAGGGGGCUAGCCGUUGCUCGGAAUCACUGGGCGUAAAGGGCGCCGUAGGCGGCCAUUCAA
rnacentral:rRNA from 1 species